CGUCACUAGAGGCGGCGACUCUUGGGAUAAAUCUAUCACAGGAUAAUUAUUAUUUUGACUCUUGUUUGAGAAUCUGCGAGAUUUGCUUCGCCGAGGUUUCUGAGUUGUCAGAUCUUUGCUUUUCCGAUUUUUUAGGGAGUUUUUUGUUGAAGACUCUGCUCUAACAUGUCUGGAAGGAAAGAAACGGUUUUGGAUUUGGCUAAGUUUGUUGAUAAGGGUGUGCAAGUU